UCCUGGAUAGCUCAACGGUAGAGCGACUGCCUGUUAAGCAGUUGGUUCUCGGUCCGAAUCCGAGUCCAGGAG
rnacentral:tRNA from 1 species